AAAGACCAUUAGGCAUGUACAGUGAUUGAGUAAUUGGUUGAUUGAUUGAUUGCCAAUCACGAUUUGGCUAUGCUUACUGGGUUUCGCCAAAUUAUACGGAAAAAUAUGUUUCGUCGAAACUUAUUAGGAAAAGAUAAUCUUCCCAAGAUGUCUAAAAGUGGAGGUGAGUUAUAACGGCUAGAGCUGACAGAAGAGAUCGAAUCAACUCGGCGGCUAGAGUGGCUGGUGGACCUCGACUCGGAGAGUAUUUUUCUCUUGGACGAAGAGUGGUUCGGGCUCAGCAAGGAGACAUCUACGGUUCACCAGUCGGCUUCGUGCGGAUGCACCUAGACUGCCGACCGACAGAGAACGGUGUGACGGUGCGAGGCGCGUGACGCACCCGGGAUGAUUAACCACUCUCCCUCAUGGGCUCAUUCGGUCUGACUGUAGCUCUCAGGUAUGAUCAACCACCCGCUUAAUCAUUGUCUUACUCAGGCUAUAACAGUAAGAGAAGUGGUAAGUAGAGAGGAAACAGAAUGAUGUUGAGACUAAGCAGAGAUUUCUAUCUUCUGUGUGUGUUUCUCCUUCCCCCCCCCACUCCAUCCCUCCUCCACACACACCACAAAACACACGCACACACGCGCGCGCGCUCGUUCGACAUGCGCAGUCCCAUUGCGCGAAGAGCACUCGAGUGAACUGGAACCAUCCCGAUGCCGUAUGCAGAGCUGAAUGGCCGACGUGUAGUGACCCUGUUUCAGGAGUCUCCAGAAGUUUUGCGAGUGAGGCGGCAGCAGUGUCUGACCGUCAACGAGCGAGAGAGAGAGAUGGGGGGAAGGGGAGAAACGUGGUGAGGAUCGCGCGCGGGCGAGAGAGAGAGAUUCUGGCCAAUGCCUGAGCUCCGGAUGUAGGAUGAGUGAGCAUGGCAUGGUGGGUAAGGAAAGAGAGAGAGACCUACUUCAGUGCCCUACGGUAUCGUUCUGAUCAAGGUCAUGAAAAAUGGUUUUGAGUCGACUUGUGCUGUUUGCUGCUGCUGCUGCCGCUGUUGCUGCUGCUACGGCAGCGGCCGCUCGUCGGUGUGGUGUGCGGAUAAGCUGACAGUGUGCCUGAGCACUAAGGAGGUAGGUGGGGGGAUGGGACAGGGAGUGUUUAUUCGACAGGGAACGGCUUCGUAGUGCAUGUAGAUCGCUCUGUCUCUCUCUUUUCAAGUGGUUCUGGCCGCUCCAGACUGGGAAGACUACAUUCUGUCGCAGCAGCAAGCAAGCAGGCAGCCAGCAGCAGCGGCAACAGCAGAGGUGGCGGUGGCAGACAACCACAACCGGAAAUUUGAUUUUCCGCUCCCCACCGGAUGCCAGGAUAAACAAAAGGAGGGCGGUGCAGGCUGGCAGCUCGCCUUACAGUUCUGACAGCUCUGACCUCUUCCUCCCUGGCACCGCGUCUCGGAGAAAGGGCUCAAGUACCGUGGACAAGGGGGGGAGAGAUAGCCAAGACCCAGGCCUGAUAACAAGAGAAAUGGAGCAGACAGCCAUCGAGAUGUGAGGAGGAAGUUGGUGGUGGUGACCCUCAGCCAGCCGACGAGGGAGUGUGUGUUCGUGUGUGGAGGCGGAGAUCCGCGUGUCGCCGUCGACCUGAAACGGAUUACAGCCCUCGAUGUAGGACGUCAUCUGAUGUUUGGGUGCGAGUUCCAGCCCUCAUCUCAUUCAGCUUUUCGACGAUGACCUUCAGUGAUGUGUUUUUUUUUUUUCUUUUUUCUCUCUCGCUCUCCCACUCAGCAGGAGAGGUGAUGAGAAUGUGAAGAGAUAAAGCCGACGCAGCAAUUUAUUCCCUAUGGAUAAAUGAUUAUCUCCCUUCUACUGCACAGGUGGUAAGCAUCGAAAACGAGACGAGUUUUUUUUCUGGUGUGUGGAGUCUCGGGUGUUUGUAUGUGUUCAGAGGAUUCCAAGUCAUUGAGAAGACAAUGUGAGGCGAGGAAGAAGAAGGAGGUGGACUAACGGUUUUUUCUGUGACGUCACCUUCUGCAUGUUAUCGUCGUGCCUCGGGGCUAUGCGGGCGCAGUGGCGGGCUCCCAGGACUGUGCGGUUCGCUCCCCCACCGUCACGGUGUGCUGCUGCGGCGCCCUGAGCUUUCUCCGGCUGGGCCACCGCAAGGAACGCCCCCUAUGUCACGUGUGUGCCGGGGUGGUGGUGGCGGACAAGCCGGGGAAGGCGGGCGUGGUGGAACUGGGCUGGGUCAGCGCUAGCGGCCGGAUGCAUCACAGCGCCGUGCGCACGUCCCCCAUGUCGGCGGGGGGAGUGGCGGUGCUCCGGCCUCCCAAGCCUCCCUGUUGGCGGGACUUUGUGGCGCAGGACACACGCAGGUGCUAUCCCCCGGCCUACCUACCUGUCGACCUGCGCAGCGGUCACGGCGGCGACCACUUUCCGGGGAUCGGAGGCGUAGCGGGCGUCGACCCCUUGGACGUCUGGGCCUUGGCGGACGUAGCGGCGGUGGAGGCGGAGGCGGCAGCGGCACGGCCAGGACCUCCAAGGGCGGCAAGCGGUUGCGGGCACGCAUCCAUCGCACCCGCAGCGAGCACCUGAUCCACGUGGAGGACCUGCCGGAUGGAGAGCUGACGGUCAGUCUGGCGGAGACGAGGCCGCACGAGCUUGCGGCUGGGCGAGCGACCGGCAGCGGACCUUGACGACCGGCUGUACGUGGAAGAGAACAACCGCCGCUGUCAGAGCUGGCUGGCCAGCAUCGAGGCCGCCGAGCCACUGGACGACAUAGGCUACACCAAGGGCAAGAACGACGACCAGGUGGCGCUCGAGGACGUGGAUGUGGAGGUGCCGGAAGAGACGUUUUUGUGGGACGACGACGAAGAGGAGGAGGACGAGGAAGACGAAGACGAGGACGAAGAGGCAGGAAGGUGAUGAGGAGGGGGAUGAGGCAGGCGAAGCAGACAUCGUGGAACUUCGCCCCUCGUUCAACACCAGUGCCUCCAGCUCCGACAAUCAGGGACUGCUGCAGCGCGUGUUGGCAGCUGGAGCGAGCUACGUCGUCUGCUGCGACGAAGGAAAGGGUCAAGGGUCGUGUGAUCAGACUUCUAGAAAGUCCUCCUCUGGAAAUAGGCGUGAUCGACAAGGAGGAAGAGAAGGAGGUCUCAGGGCCACGUCCUCCUCUAGAGACGUGCACGGCAAGUUGUCGAACAAACGGAUCUUGUCUAUUCCUGAACACCCCAGCAUCGAGUGACAGAAGUAGUGUAAGCACCGCAAGUAUGUGUGUGUGAGGCAGCGUGACUGAAACCAGAUACCGGAAGUGAAGCCGUCGAACAUGGCGGCUACAGUGUGUGCCCUUCACCUAGGAACUUUAUUAUUUAAAAAAAGGCGCCAGCAGUACCACGAUGUAUGACUACAUACGACACAUGCAUAUCCCCGGCUAAGGUUCUUUGAUUUUUAACCACGGUGAGGGACAAACCGGAUUUAACAGAAGAUUCAUCCUCUAAGCAACUUCUUUUCUCUUCUCAACAAAUUUUCUCAGUAUUUGUAUCCUCCCAAACCAAAGAAAAGUGAACACCAAAACCGAUCACAGAAGUUGUUCUUAUCAUUGAUGUACCUAACCUAACAAUACUAUUUAAAUUUUUUACAGCCAGCUUCCAUAUUUUCAAGAAUUGAUUCCAAUGAGGAAAAAAAAAACCCGUUUCAGUAAUAGUGAUACUAAAUAGUAAUUAAACGUGGAGAUGUAGUUGAUUGAUGAACCUCGCUAUCGUACCUGACAUCGUCUCGACCUUGUUUCUCCCCCUCCUUGAACCUCUUCACUAUGGCCAUCCUCCUCCAAUUUCCCACCUACCACAACCUCCACUCAACUUCACCCCAUCCUACCCAUCCACCACCACUCCCUAACCGUCCCCGUGACGUAAAUCAUGAGAUGUCGUGGCUGACAUGGCGGGGAUUGCGACAUUUUGCAGACGGCAACAGUGUCUCGCACGUGUGCUCGUGCAGGAUGUGUGCAGGAGUUUGAAUGCUGAGUGAAGGAGGAGGCGAAAGAAAGGGACAAUACGCCGUGUUCCCUCUCGGAGAAUCUGGAUUUCUGUGUGUGAUUUUCCUCAUGUCGUCGGGUGGUUGUGAGUGGUCGGGAGUGGCAGCCUGUCCUGGCUUCUGGAAUCUAAGAAAAAAAGGAACGCCAGGUCAGGGUGUGCUUAUUCAACCGACUGACGAGUACAUGAGGAACACCUGUGAGAAUAGAAGAAAUUACUUCUUUCUCUCAUCUCUUUCUCUUUCUUCGUCUUUUGUGGUGUGCGAUUUCGUUUUUGGUCCACAUCCCUGGUCAGUAUCCAUGUUUGUAUAUAUUGAAAUAUACGUUUUGGGAAAUGUGGGUGCAUAUGAUGUGUGACAAAUUUUAGAAAAUAAAAAUAAUUUCUUUGUACA